UCUUGCUUUAAUUUACUGGGUUUCAUAUUUUUCGUGUCAAGUAAUGUCGAAUUGUUAUUAUAAUUUGAUCUUUAAACAACUACUUUCAUGGAUUUUAUUUCAUUUAUUGGCAAAACUUUAUCAAUGUCUAAGAACAAGUCACAUGUUUUGAUCUCUUUCUCAUAGACUGCUCCUACUCCAACAGCAAAGAAUUAAAUUCAGAAAUAUGUUCCCUUUAGUUUUUUUAGCUUUUUUGGAAAUUUUGUUUCUAAGAUAUCAUGGUUCUUCACAAAUAUUGUGAUUAUGUGUCUAGGUCUCUAAGCAAGUGGUAAAAACCAUCAUACAUAAUACUUA
rnacentral:lncRNA from 1 species